rnacentral:rRNA from 1 species
AUUGAACGCUGGCGGCAGGCCUAACACAUGCAAGUCGAACGAGUGGCGGACGGGUGAGUAAUGUCUGGGAAACUGCCCGAUGGAGGGGGAUAACUACUGGAAACGGUAGCUAAUACCGCAUACCAUCGGAUGUGCCCAGAUGGGAUUAGCUAGUAGGUGGGGUAACGGCGAACCUAGGCGACGAUCCCUAGCUGGUCUGAGAGGAUGACCAGCCACACUGGAACUGAGACCCGGUCCAGCCUCCUACGGGAGGCAGCAGUGGGGAAUAUUGCACAAUGUGCGCAAGCCUGAUGCAGCCAUGCCGCGUGUGGGAAGAAGGCCUUCGGGUUGUAAAGCACUUUCAGCAGGGCGGCGUUACCCGCAGAAGAAGCACCGGCUAACUCCGUGCCAGCAGCCGCGGUAAUAC